rnacentral:rRNA from 1 species
UACGUAGGGUGCGAGCGUUGUCCGGAAUUAUUGGGCGUAAAGAGCUCGUAGGCGGUCUGUCGCGUCGAUCGUGAAAACUUGGGGCUUAACCCUGAGCUUGCGGUCGAUACGGGCAUGACUGGAGUUCGGCAGGGGAGACUGGAAUUCCUGGUGUAGCGGUGAAAUGCGCAGAUAUCAGGAGGAACACCGGUGGCGAAGGCGGGUCUCUGGGCCGAUACUGACGCUGAGGAGCGAAAGCGUGGGGAGCUAACAGG